CUAAGGUGGUGGAUUAGUGGCGAACGGGUGAGUAACACGGUGGGCAAUCUGCCCUUCACUCUGGGACAAGCCCUGGAAACGGGGUCUAAUACCGGAUAACACUCUGUCCUGCAUGGGACGGGGUUGAAAGCUCCGGCGGUGAAGGAUGAGCCCGCGGCCUAUCAGCUUGUUGGUGGGGUAAUGGCCUACCAAGGCGACGACGGGUAGCCGGCCUGAGAGGGCGACCGGCCACACUGGGACUGAGACACGGCCCAGACUCCUACGGGAGGCAGCAGUGGGGAAUAUUGCACAAUGGGCGAAAGCCUGAUGCAGCGACGCCGCGUGAGGGAUGACGGCCUUCGGGUUGUAAACCUCUUUCAGCAGGGAAGAAGCGAAAGUGACGGUACCUGCANAAGAAGCGCCGGCUAACUACGUGCCAGCAGCCGCGGUAAUACGUAGGGCGCAAGCGUUGUCCGGAAUUAUUGGGCGUAAAGAGCUCGUAGGCGGCUUGUCACGUCGGAUGUGAAAGCCCGGGGCUUAACCCCGGGUCUGCAUUCGAUACGGGCUAGCUAGAGUGUGGUAGGGGAGAUCGGAAUUCCUGGUGUAGCGGUGAAAUGCGCAGAUAUCAGGAGGAACACCGGUGGCGAAGGCGGAUCUCUGGGCCAUUACUGACGCUGAGGAGCGAAAGCGUGGGGAGCGAACAGGAUUAGAUACCCUGGUAGUCCACGCCGUAAACGUUGGGAACUAGGUGUUGGCGACAUUCCACGUCGUCGGUGCCGCAGCUAACGCAUUAAGUUCCCCGCCUGGGGAGUACGGCCGCAAGGCUAAAACUCAAAGGAAUUGACGGGGGCCCCGCACAAGCAGCGGA
rnacentral:rRNA from 1 species